CAAACCGUAAAUUAUGCUUGCUAGAUGUUGAUCUUGUAUUGGAUCAGUGUCGUAACUCAACAGGUUAAGCAAGUCGCCUGGGUAGUAUAUUCGCAAGAAUGAAACUCAAAGGGAUAGGCGGGGGAACACACAAGCAGUGGAUUGUCUCGAUUAAUUGGAUAGCAAACCAAAAACCUCACCUAGGUUUGACAUGUGUUGUGUCGUAUAGGAAACUAUGCUAUACUGAGCAAUCAGUAGCUUCACACAGGUGG
rnacentral:rRNA from 1 species